rnacentral:rRNA from 1 species
UCUGACGGUAGCGGCGGACGGGUGAGUAACACGUGGAUAACCUACCUAUAAGACUGGGAUAACUUCGGGAAACCGGAGCUAAUACCGGAUAAUAUAUUGAACCGCAUGGUUCAAUAGUGAAAGACGGUUUUGCUGUCACUUAUAGAUGGAUCCGCGCCGCAUUAGCUAGUUGGUAAGGUAACGGCUUACCAAGGCAACGAUGCGUAGCCGACCUGAGAGGGUGAUCGGCCACACUGGAACUGAGACACGGUCCAGACUCCUACGGGAGGCAGCAGUAGGGAAUCUUCCGCAAUGGGCGAAAGCCUGACGGAGCAACGCCGCGUGAGUGAUGAAGGUCUUCGGAUCGUAAAACUCUGUUAUUAGGGAAGAACAAAUGUGUAAGUAACUAUGCACGUCUUGACGGUACCUAAUCAGAAAGCCACGGCUAACUACGUGCCAGCAGCCGCGGUAAUACGUAGGUGGCAAGCGUUAUCCGGAAUUAUUGGGCGUAAAGCGCGCGUAGGCGGUUUUUUAAGUCUGAUGUGAAAGCCCACGGCUCAACCGUGGAGGGUCAUUGGAAACUGGAAAACUUGAGUGCAGAAGAGGAAAGUGGAAUUCCAUGUGUAGCGGUGAAAUGCGCAGAGAUAUGGAGGAACACCAGUGGCGAAGGCGACUUUCUGGUCUGUAACUGACGCUGAUGUGCGAAAGCGUGGGGAUCAAACAGGAUUAGAUACCCUGGUAGUCCACGCCGUAAACGAUGAGUGCUAAGUGUUAGGGGGUUUCCGCCCCUUAGUGCUGCAGCUAACGCAUUAAGCACUCCGCCUGGGGAGUACGACCGCAAGGUUGAAACUCAAAGGAAUUGACGGGGACCCGCACAAGCGGUGGAGCAUGUGGUUUAAUUCGA